rnacentral:ncRNA from 1 species
CGGGGAUCGUGCGCGACUCCCCGGCCCGACCCCGGUACCUCGUACGGCCGGGGCGG